rnacentral:rRNA from 1 species
GAUGAACGCUGGCGGCGUGCCUAAUACAUGCAAGUCGAGCGAACAGACGAGGAGCUUGCUUCUCUGACGUUAGCGGCGGACGGGUGAGUAACACGUGGAUAACCUACCUAUAAGACUGGGAUAACUUCGGGAAACCGGAGCUAAUACCGGAUAAUAUAUUGAACCGCAUGGUUCAAUAGUGAAAGACGGUUUUGCUGUCACUUAUAGAUGGAUCCGCGCCGCAUUAGCUAGUUGGUAAGGUAACGGCUUACCAAGGCAACGAUGCGUAGCCGACCUGAGAGGGUGAUCGGCCACACUGGAACUGAGCCACGGUCCAGACUCCUACGGGAGGCAGCAGUAGGGAAUCUUCCGCAAUGGGCGAAAGCCUGACGGAGCAACGCCGCGUGAGUGAUGAAGGUCUUCGGAUCGUAAAACUCUGUUAUUAGGGAAGAACAAAUGUGUAAGUAACUAUGCACGUCUUGACGGUACCUAAUCAGAAAGCCACGGCUAACUACGUG